CCUACGGGAGGCAGCAGUGGGGAAUUUUGGACAAUGGGCGCAAGCCUGAUCCAGCAAUGCCGCGUGAGUGAAGAAGGCCUUCGGGUUGUAAAGCUCUUUUGUCAGGGAAGAAACGGUGAGUUCUAAUACAGUUCACUAAUGACGGUACCUGAAGAAUAAGCACCGGCUAACUACGUGCCAGCAGCCGCGGGUAAU
rnacentral:rRNA from 1 species